rnacentral:rRNA from 1 species
AUUGAACGCUGGCGGCAUGCUUUACACAUGCAAGUCGAACGGUAACAGGUUAAGCUGACGAGUGGCGAACGGGUGAGUAAUGCAUCGGAACGUGCCCGAUCGUGGGGGAUAACGUAGCGAAAGUUACGCUAAUACCGCAUACGAUCUGAGGAUGAAAGCGGGGGACCGUAAGGCCUCGCGCGAUCGGAGCGGCCGAUAUCAGAUUAGGUAGUUGGUGGGGUAAAGGCCCACCAAGCCGACGAUCUGUAGCUGGUCUGAGAGGACGACCAGCCAAACUGGGACUGAGACACGGCUCAGACUCCUACGGGAGGCAGCAGUGGGGAAUUUUGGACAAUGGGCGCAAGCCUGAUCCAGCAAUGCCGCGUGCAGGAAGAAGGCCUUCGGGCUGUAAACUGCUUUUGUACGGAGCGAAAAGGCUCUCUCUAAUACAGGGGGCUCAUGACGGUACCGUAAGAAUAAGCACCGGCUAACUACGUGCCAGCCGCCGCGGUAACAC